rnacentral:misc_RNA from 1 species
GAUGAAGAACGCAGCGAAAUGCGAUAAGUAAUGUGAAUUGCAGAAUUCAGUGAAUCAUCGAAUCUUUGAACGCACAUUGCGCCCGCCAGUAUUCUGGCGGGCAUGCCUGUCCGAGCGUCAUUUCAACGCUCGAACCCCUCCGGGGGGUCGGCGUUGGGGAUCGGCCCUGCCUCUUGGCGGUGGCCGUCUCCGAAAUACAGUGGCGGUCUCGCCGCAGCCUCUCCUGCGCAGUAGUUUGCACACUCGCAUCGGGAGCGCGGCGCGUCCACAGCCGUUAAACACCCAACUUCUGAAAUGUUGACCUCGGAUCAGGUAGGAAUACCCGCUGAACUUAAGCAUAUCAAUAAGCGGAGGA